rnacentral:lncRNA from 1 species
AAUGACAAAAAAAUAUUGUAUUGCCAUCUAUAUUUUUUAAUCAUUUAAUUUAUCCCCUACUUGAUAAUUUUCCUACACACACACAGACAUUAUUUUUGAAUUUAAAUUUUCAGAAUUAACAUGAUGAAAACUUUGUUGCUUUUUCCAUAAUUUUUCAUUUACGUUUUCAAUUAAUAAUGAUUAUAAAACAUUAUUCACUUAAUGAAUAAUUAAUAGUACUCGAAAUCCCAAUAUUAAAUAACCACCAAGUGUAAAAUGAUAUGAUUAGCAAAAAAAUUAAUUCUGAAGAGGAAUUGAAUGUAUUUUAAAAUAUUAAAGUGGUUUUGAUUAGUUUGUUAAAUAGCAAAAGGAUUUUUACUCUUUUUCCUGCUUUUUAGGCUGCUUUAUUUAUUUAUUUUUUCAAAAGAUAAAGGUAAAUUAAAUCUUGUGCUCACUUAUGUGAUCGAGAUUGUGACUCGGUCUUGCCAAUAUCAAAUCGUAAAAUCUUGUUAUCUUUUUUUAAUUUUUCUCCUCAUAUAAUGGUGUCUAGAUUGAAUGGUAUGGUAUCACACGACACUGUGGUUGAAUCAUGUGAAUGAUCAUUAAAUAUUUUAUAUUACCUUAAUAAAUUUGGUUAUCUUUUAAUUAUUAUAUAUAUAUACACAGUAAAACCUCUUUAUAGUUACAAUAUUGAGACCGAAUUAAUUUUAAACGGGAAAAUAAGGCUUGUCCUCUGUUGUUUGAAAAUUUUGAGUAAAACCCACCUCAUAUUUUAGAAUAGAUCCUUUUGUAGUUAUAAUAGUAUUAACUUUAUAUAUCAUUUACUACUCUACUCCUAUUCUUGAUGUAAGGUGGGUUUAAUUUUUGUUCAUCCAACAAACGUUAUAAAUUAUUUGAAAGUUGACAAUCAUGUUGAGUAUAAUAAGUCAAAAUAGGUUAAGAUAAGAGAUAAAAGGCAUCCAUAAUUACCUGAACAUUAAUCAAGUUUUAAUGUUAAAUUACUUCUUCUUUAUCAAGUUAGUUCAAGCUAUGGGACCCUAAUUGAGCUAGCCUGGGAAAAAUGAACCCUAAUUUAUGACUAUUUUAUUUACAAAAUCAUAAGAAAAAAAGUGGGUAUCCGUAUCAUCCUCCCUCCAUCUCAAAAACCAACCUUAUGACCCAUUUCAUUGAAUUCGGUUGGAAUUAAAUUAUCUUAAUUAUAACAAAU